UACGUAGGGGGCUAGCGUUGUCCGGAAUCAUUGGGCGUAAAGCGCGUGUAGGCGGUCCGGUAAGUCCGCUGUGAAAGUCGGGGGCUCAACCCUCGGAUGCCGGUGGAUACUGUCGGGCUUGAGUACGGAAGAGGCGAGUGGAAUUCCUGGUGUAGCGGUGAAAUGCGCAGAUAUCAGGAGGAACACCAAUUGUGAAGGCAGCUCGCUGGGACGUUACUGACGCUGAGACGCGAAAGCGUGGGGAGCAAACAGG
rnacentral:rRNA from 1 species